GCUGCUACCCUGGUCAACAGCCUGAGCUGGAUACCUGGCUGACAAGUACCACCUUUUUCCUACACAGAUGACAACCCAGCCCAUGAGCACCAGUUUUGCAGCCACAUCAGUUUCUGAUUAGACUUACAAUUUAAGUGGGGAAGUGACUUUGGAAGAGACAUGCGUGCUGUCAGCAGAUGGGAGAGAGGAUGGAGAAAGAUGGAGGGAGGCUGCUGUAACACCUGUUCUGGUUGGGAUUCUGAAUGAAUAUGAAAGAUGCCACUGCUACUCCUUCACUUGCUCAUUCUGCAAAAGUUUGUAGAUCUUCUGCAAGGAGAACGGCAUUGUUAACUACCUACAGGAAGUGACAGGAUGUCACUCUGUCACCUAGACUGGAAUUCAGUGGUGCAAUCAUAGCUCACAGCAGCCUCAACCUCCUGGGCUCAAGCAAUCCUCCAGCCUCCAUCUCCUGAGUAGCUGGAACUACAGAAUGUCCUGUGUGCUUUUGGUAUGAUCAUUAUGCUGGACUCACAUGAGAGAUGGAAAAGAUGGGGAAACUGAGUGCUAGAAAUCCAAGGUUCAUAAAGUUGAAUCUCCCUCUGUCAUCCAGGCUGGAGUGCAGUGGCAUGGUUACAGCUCACUGUACCUUUGACCUCUCAGGCUCAAGAGAUCUUCCCACCCUAGCCUCCCAAGUGGCUGUGUCUACAGGCUAGCAUAUUCAAGUGCCAGAGUAGCAUCCUUGAGAGCCCCCUUCAUCAUUUUGCGCAGGAACCAGAAAAGGUCAAGAUGAUCACUUGCCUAUCAUCCUGAGUCUCUAAAUGGCCAGAGUCAACCUCGAUAGACAAGUAGAAUAAGGGCAAAAUACUUACUCUUUUAAUCCAUUAAAGCUUAAGGUUUUUUAAAAGUUACUUUUCAUGAACAGAAAUAUUUUGAUGGGCAUAUGUUAUAUUACAGACACUAUACAAGGCAUAUUACUUACAUUAUACAAUUUAAUCUGUACAACAAUGUUGCAAGUUAUGUACUUUUAUUUCCAUUCUUAUAUAGACAUUAAACAUAUCACACAGUGUUCAAAUUACCUUUUGCUUUAUAACAAACAAACCUAAAACCUAGUGAAUUGAAACAAUUUAUGAUUAUCUCUCAAGGUUCUAUAGUUGUCUUGGUAUCAUCUGGGCAGUUCUAAACUGGUUCUUUCAUGUUAUGGCAGUCAGAUAUUGGCUGGGACUACAAUCAUUGAAGGCUUGACUCAGCUGGCAUCCAAGAUGGCUCAUGAACAUGACUGGCAAUUAGUGCUGGUUUGGGGCUGGGAAAUCACCAGGGUUGUCAACUAAAACUCCUGCAUGUGGCUUGUUUAGGUGACUUGGACAUUUCAAUCAUGAUAGCUGGAGUGCUUGACAGAGGAUUACACAAGACACAAGGAGAAGCUUUAGGUCUUAUUAUGGCUUACUCUUGAAAGCCCAAGGAUGUAUUUUUCACUGCAUUCCACUAGUAAAGAAAGUUGUUAAGACCAGCUCAGGCUUAAGGGGUGGAUAAUUUGACACAAGGCACAACAUGCUUGCACAAGAAGAAAAGGAAUGCACAGUGGCCAUCCUUGGAGUCUUAUAUGUUAUAUGCAAUUUAUAAAAUACAAUCCUUUUCCUUGGUAAGAUUAUCAUAUGUAAGAGCUUUACAAGCUUUCAUGAAAAUAAUCUACUUACGGGGGCAGGGAUUGAAGCUGGGCAGAGCAUGGUGGUUGAUAUGCUUUUGUGUAGGUCAAGAUGGGUGAGAUUAUGUGUGAAAGUAUACCAGCCCCAAACCACAGUCUUAACACAAUAAAUUUACUUUUUGUUUACACUCUGUGUACAAAAUUGUUGAAAUGGGAAUCUGCUUAUUAUAAUCACUCAGGGAUUUAAACAGAUGAAGUUUCAUCUCAUUAGACUGUACCUUUUGAACAUUUUCAGUAUCAGCAGAGCAGAAGAAGAAAACGCAGGACAUUAUAUUCUUAAUUAUAAAGCUUCCAUCUGGGAGUGAAAAACAUCAUUUUUCUUACCUCCCAUUGGCCAAUGCAAACCAUAUGGCCCUGUCUAAAUUCCUGCUAUGUGCCCAUAAGGUAUGUCAGAAUAUUUGAAAUAGCUCUAAUACCUCCACACCAUGUUAUCUGAAUUCUUAUAUAUUAGGACCAGAUUGAAUUUAGAUAAAGCAGGGAAACUGAAAAUCAUCUUUAUCUUCUGGGUCUCAUAUUUCUUUCAAUGUACAUUAAUUUUCAAAGGCCAUUACAUUUGCUGAGUGUAAUAGGCACAAUUAUUAUAUUUAUAUUUGAUAUCACAUACAAUUUACAGCUGGGUAAGUUCAUAUAUAGUUACGUAAAUUGAUGUCUAUAAGUUAUAUGUGGAGUUUUCACAUACCUAUAAUUUCUGAUUUUUUUUUUUCACUUCAAUUUAGGUAGAGGGGUUAAUAUUUGUUCUGGUUUGUCAAUCUAAAAGUAGAGUCAAAAAAUAAAAUGAUUGGCUUUAGAUUAUAUCGCACAGUUCUUUGACCCUCAAACAAGACAUUUACUUCUGUACCAGGGAUCCUGUACUUGUACUUGGAGUCUUAGUGAGGGUUCAAAUUAUCCAUGAAGCCUGUAAACUUGCCGCAUUGUGUAUGUGAGUGUGAGUGUGUGUGUGCAUGUGUGUGUGCUAGGUCUGUGUGUGUGUUCUUUUUUGAGUGGCUUAGGUUCACUAUACCACAGCAUUGUUGCAAACAAUUAAUAGGUAAAUGGACAUUUGAGACUGAGAUGCCAUUAAUUCAUCUGAUUUCUACACAUAUAGUAGGUCUUAACAUCAAAAGGUUGAUGAAUUGUUUAAAGAAAAACAUGAUGGGGCUUCCUAGACCUCCUCAUUUAACAGAUUUCAUACUUGGGCUUCUUGCUGAGCCUUUUCUUCUGCCUCUUGCCAUUGAUUGUAAAAAUCGAAGCUUCCUUCACGGGAAGCACUGAACAAGACAUUCCAUGUUUUCAGUGUAAAGUCCAUCAUUUCCAGCGUGGCUCACAUCUCAGUGGGUGACAAAACUUCCUGAUGUCCUGGAAAAGCUCUGCAAGUACUCAGGCCCUUGCCCACUUAUUUCAGAUCACUGGUUUGUUACCAUUAAGUAAGCAUUUUUAUUUUAAAUCUCUAUUUACAUUUAUCAGGGCCCUUUCAGCUCAAUUUGCAAAAUGAUGAUUUGUAUAUAUCUAAAACAGUACAUCAUGGGGUUCAGGUCAUUUGCAUUCCACAGUCAUUUACUGAAUACGUACUUUUUGCAAUACAGCCAUACAAGAAGUCACAAGCAUAAGGCACGGGUCAUGUCAGUCUUGCAUAUAUGAAAUCUAAACAUCAGUAUACAUAAGCAAAUAUGGUAUAGAGGAGUCAAACUGGCCUGGUUUGAAUAUCUUUUUCUGCUAGCUCUAUGACUUAACUUUCUUGAGUUUCAGUGAUUUCAACUAUAAAGAUGAGGCAACUGAGACCUAUUAGAGAGUUAUUUUGAAGAUAUAAUGUAAAAUGUCACAUCAAAUUGGGGGUAACACAGGUAAAAAUACACAAAUUAGGGGACGUGCAUGACCUAUUCAGGGAAUAAAUUUUGAGUAUAAAAUAUAGGGAAGUUAUAAGCAAAAGUGAGGCCAGAGAGAGAAACCAGGAUCUUAAAUCUCAAACUCACCCAUUUGGACUUCAUCCUGAAGUUAAAGAAAAGCCAAUAAAAGGUUGAGAAAAGAUUAAAAAGAAUAUAAUCAACUUUUAAAAAACUUUUUAUAUAAAAACAAUUUAAUAUUUGAUAAGAAGUUUCAAAACUUAUAUUUUCAACAUCCUUCAUGCAGCUUACAUCUUACAUAACUAUAGUACAAUGCCAAAUCGAAGAAAUCAGCAUUGAUGUGAUACUAUUAAACCACAGAUCUUACUCAGGUUUCACUAGGUUUUUUAAACAUUUAAUUAAUUACUUAAUUUUAAGUUUACAACUUAAAAUUAUAUAUAUUUAUCAAGUACAACGUGAUGCUUUGAAAUAUGUACGCAUUGUAGAAUGGCUCAGUUGAGUAAAUUGAACAUAUGUAUUAUUUCACACUUAACAUUUCUUGUGGUGAGAACACUUAAAAUCUACUGUAUUAAUGAUUUUCAAAAUAUAAUACAUUGCUAUUAAAUAUAGUCACUGUGUUGUACAGUAGAUCUCUUGAAUUUAUUCCUCCUAUCUAACUGAAAUUGUGUGUCCUUCGGCUAGUAUCUUUUCAACCCUGCUCUACUCCCACCCCAGCCCCUUGUAAGCAUCAUUCUACUCUCUGCUUCUGAGUUCAACUUUUUAGAUUCCAUGUAUAGGUGAGAUCACACAGUAUAUGUCUUUCUGUGUCUGGUGUAUGUCAUUUAACAUAAUAAAGCCUGU
ensembl:lncRNA novel transcript